UACGGGGGGGGCAAGCGUUGUUCGGAAUUACUGGGCGUAAAGGGCUCGUAGGCGGCCAACUAAGUCGGAUGUGAAAUCCCCAGGCUUAACCUGGGAACUGCAUCCGAUACUGGAUGGCUUGAAUCCGGGAGAGGGAUGCAGAAUUCCAGGUGUAGCGGUGAAAUGCGCAGAUAUCAGGAGGAACACCGGUGGCGAAGGCGGGUCUCUGGGAAACAACUGACGCUGAGGAACGAAAGCGUGGGUAGCAAACAGG
rnacentral:rRNA from 1 species